UGCAGUCUUGCACAUGUGCCCGUC
rnacentral:piRNA from 1 species